rnacentral:rRNA from 1 species
GAUGAACGCUGGCGGCGUGCCUAAUACAUGCAAGUCGAGCGAAGCGGGGACGGGUGAGUAACACGUGGAUAACCUCCUAUAAGACUGGGAUAACUUAGGGAAACCGGUGCGAAACAGGCAUAUGUUAGAUGGAUACGCGCUGCAUUAGCUAGGUGGUAAGGUAACGGCGUACCAAGGCAACGAUUCAUAGCCGACCUGAGAGGUGGAUCGGCCACACUGGAACUGAGACACGGUCCAGACUCCUACGGGAGGCAGCAGUAGGGAAUCUUCCGCAAUGGGCGAAAGCCUGACGGAGCAACGCCGCGUGAGUGAUGAAGGUCUUCGGAUCGUAAAACUCUGUUAUUAGGGAAGCGGUACCUAAUCAGAAAGCCACGGCUAACUCCGUGCCAGCAGCCGCGGUAAUAC